rnacentral:lncRNA from 1 species
GUUGCGCAAACGUAGCAUUGGAGAAAAAAAGUUGUGGCGCAAAAGGACGCAUUUUUGGUGCAAACGGAUCUCUCCCCAACACACAAUACAACAAACUAAUGACUCAGCAACAAGUAACCAUAACCAAAAUCGGGAUUAUUUCAUGUGCUCUGGAUGGUUAAAAGAUAAUUCUAUAAUCUAUGUUUAUAGCGAUUGAAGUCGUCAGAUAUGAAAGUAGAUAAAGGAAGAUGUGGUAUGAGUGCCAAUGAGACAUACAUGUAUCUCUGUCCAAGUAACAAUUCAUAAAAGUAAACCAUUAAAGGUUACGGUACGGCCUUCAACACGGAGCCUAGACUCACACCGAACACUGAAAAGUCUGG